AGGUGACGGACAUUCCCACACUUCUCUUUUCUGAAGGGAGCAACAGUCUAAAUCAAUAAAGCAGAAAGUCCUGGAGACCAGAGGCACCUGCAGGCUUGGGAGUUGCAAUCAGGGUUACAGGGUCAGCCUCCUGCCUGCUGAGAGCCAGUUAUCCACUUCCUCCUGUUUGCCCAGCCAUCAUUAACCACAAUCAGGGAAGGGAAAAGCUGUCACAAUGAUGAUUGAGAUGGAUGAGACAGGAAGAAGAGUUUUAUAUCACUGCUCCUAUCUGCCCUGUCCUGAAAAGUGUGAAUUAUGGGUGAUUGAAAUUCUUGAAGAAAAAAGUCUUCUAGUCAUGGAACAGAUGCAAUAGCCAUGCAGAGUUGCCUGUAUCAGACCCCACCAAAGUGCCUCAACCCUGAUCAUUAGUCCAUUCAAUCUCUGGCUUCUCGUGCUGGGACCACCAAAGAAGGUAACAGGUGUGGGUGGUGGUUUUUUUGUAA